rnacentral:misc_RNA from 1 species
CCGAGUGAGGGCCCCCGGGUCCGACCUCCAACCCUUUGUAUACCGACCCUGUUGCCUCGGGGGUGACCCGGCGCUCUCACGAGUGCCCCGGGGCCCCCGGUGGACCGUCAAACACUGCAUCUGUGCGUCCGAGUCAUAUUUGAAUAAAUCA